AAUUUGGGGACAACGCUGCGGGCAUCGAGGCUGUGGCGCUUGAUUUCCUUUAAAGUGCCUACCACGCCACCCCCUAUCUGCAAGAAUCCAUCUGAAGAGGUCGCGGGGCAGCGGCUCCGCAGACAGACUGACCUGCGGGGAGGUGCGGUUUCCAGUGGCGCGGGACAAGCCGGCUCCGAGAGGGAACUGGGACCUUUGCCUAGGGCAAGACGUCAACAGGAACCCGCAGGCCCGCCCUGGACACCUGCUUCCCGCACUGGAGGCUUUAACUCCCACUCGAGUCUCUUGGCGUCGUCAGUGCCAGGAGCGCUUGGAUUGGGAUGGGGACGGAGAAAGGUGCCUCGCUCGCCGAGCCCCGCUGCACUUGGGGACCUGGCAAAGUCGAGGUUUCCUCACAGCGUUGAGAUUGAGACUGGGGAUCGUGGUCUCAAAUAGUCAAGACCCCCUGCUGGGGGGAGCGUCUAUCCUGCUCUGUGGAAGAAAUGGGCAUGCCAGAUGCCUGGAAGAUCAGAGGCUCACAUUCCAGGUGCCAAGAACAUACACUGGGGAAAAAAU
rnacentral:antisense_RNA from 1 species